rnacentral:rRNA from 1 species
UACGAAGGGGGCUAGCGUUGCUCGGAAUUACUGGGCGUAAAGGGCGCGUAGGCGGAUAGUUUAGUCAGAGGGGAAAGCCCAGGGCUCAACCCUGGAAUUGCCUUUGAUACUGGCUAUCUUGAGUUCGGGAGAGGUGAGUGGAACUCCGAGUGUAGAGGUGAAAUUCGUAGAUAUUCGGAAGAACACCAGUGGCGAAGGCGACUCACUGGCCCGAUACUGACGCUGAGGCGCGAAAGCGUGGGGAGCAAACAGG